rnacentral:rRNA from 1 species
CAGCCGCCGCGGUAAUACAGAGGAUGCAAGCGUUAUCCGGAAUGAUUGGGCGUAAAGCGUCUGUAGGUGGCUUUUCAAGUCCGCCGUCAAAUCCCAGGGCUCAACCCUGGACAGGCGGUGGAAACUACCAAGCUGGAGUACGGUAGGGGCAGAGGGAAUUUCCAGUGGAGCGGUGAAAUGCGUUGAGAUCGAAAAGAACACCAACAGCGAAAGCACUCUGCUGGGACGACACUGACACUGAGAGACGAAAGCUAGGGGAGCAAAUGGGAUUAGAGACCCCAGUAGUCCCUGUCUCUUAUAC